GACGGAGGAUGCAAGCGUUAUCCGGAAUGAUUGGGCGUAAAGCGUCCGCAGGUGGCAGUUCAAGUCUGCUGUCAAAGACCGGGGCUUAACUUCGGAAAGGCAGUGGAAACUGAACAGCUAGAGUAUGGUAGGGGCAGAGGGAAUUCCUGGUGUAGCGGUGAAAUGCGCAGAUAUCAGGAGGAACACCGGUGGCGAAGGCGGAUCUCUGGGCCUGUUCUGACGCUGAGGCGCGAAAGCUAGGGGAGCGAACAGG
rnacentral:rRNA from 1 species